GACGAACGCUGGCGGCGUGCUUAACACAUGCAAGUCGAACGGGAUCCAUCCCAGCUUGCUGGGAGAAGAUCUAGUGGCGAACGGGUGCGUAACACGUGGGCAACCUACCUCGGAGAUCGGGAUAACAGCUGGAAACGGCUGCUAAUACCGGAUAACCCUCUCGGAUCGCAUGGUCCGAGAGGCAAAUGGUCCGCCGCUCCGGGAUGGGCCCGCGGCCUAUCAGCUUGUUGGUGAGGUAACAGCUCACCAAGGCGACGACGGGUAGCCGACCUGAGAGGGUGAUCGGCCACACUGGGACUGAGACACGGCCCAGACUCCUACGGGAGGCAGCAGUGGGGAAUUGUGCGCAAUGGGCGAAAGCCUGACGCAGCAACGCCGCGUGGAGGAUGAAGGUCUUCGGAUUGUAAACUCCUGUCGGGAGGGACGAAGCGAAAGUGACGGUACCUCCAAAGGAAGCCCCGGCUAACUACGUGCCAGCAGCCGCGGUAA
rnacentral:rRNA from 1 species